rnacentral:misc_RNA from 1 species
UUUCCGUAGGUGAACCUGCGGAAGGAUCAUUAUUGGAUUUUGAAACUUCAGGCUGCUGCUGGCUCUCCUCGGAGGGCAUGUGCACGCUUGUUGCCCAUUAUUUCUCCCACUGUGCACAAAUUGUAGACCUUUCAGUAGGCCUAUGUUGUUUUUCACAAUCUCUGAAUGUAAUAGAAUGGUUUUGAAUCUUGGGAAAUACAAUACAACUUUCAGCAACGGAUCUCUUGGCUCUC